GAGAAUGAUUCAGUUGAGUCGGGUAGCUUGGGAAUGCUGCUCUAAUUGGUGGUAAAUCUCAUCAAAGGCUAAAUAUUGACCGGAAACCGAUAGCGAACAAGUACCGUGAGGGAAAGAUGACAAGCACUUUGAAAAGAGGGUGAAAAGAGCCUGAAACCGUCAUGGGGGAAGCGGAUUGCGUUGGAGAUUGGGUUGCUGUGUGUUCAGCCUUUGAAUUUUAAACGAUUUGGGGUGCAUUGGCGCAGUAAUCGAGGCACCGUGGGUUUCAGCUGGUGGAAGUUGCACUGGUUGGGGCUGAGGGAUCCCUUUUAUAGGUGAGGACGGUGUGUGAACGACGCAAUACGACCCGUCUUGAAACACGGACCAAGGAGUCUAGCGCGGUUGCGAGUCAGAGGGUGCAAGCCCGAGGGCGUAGUGAAAGCGAGUGUGAAAACGAGCAGUUUGGGGCGGCAUGAGAUUGUUAAUUUCAAGUCCGACCUUGAGCAGUUGCGCUGGGACCCGAAAGAUGGUGAACUAUGCCGGAAUAGGGCAAAGCCAGAGGAAACUCUGGUGGAGGCUCGUAGCGGUGCUGACGUGCAAAUCGCUCGUCUGAUUUUGGUAUAGGGGCGAAAGACUAAUCGAACCAUCUAGUAGCUGGUUCCCUCCGAAGUUUCUCUCAGGAUAGCGGGCCGACAGGUGUUGUUUUGUGCGGUAAAGCGAAUGAUUAGCGCACUCGGGGGCGGUUUGCCUUUGGGCGAUUCUCAAACUUUCAAUGCGCAAGGGUGCCGCUGCUUGAUUGAGCGGCACCGGCAAAAACGUCGGCCCCGUGGGCCACUUUUGGUAAGCA
rnacentral:rRNA from 1 species